UAAGCAUGCAAGUCGAACGGGAUUGGGGCCCUUCGGGGCCUCAUGAGAGUGGCGAACGGGUGAGUAACACGUAGGUGAUCUACCCUUGGGUGGGGAAUAGCCCAUGGAAACAUGGGAUAAUACCGCAUGAGGUCUUUGGGCGUGAAGCCCAUGGAUGAAAGGAGCAAUUGUUCCGCCUGGGGAUGAGCCUGCGGUCCAUUAGCUAGUUGGUGUGGUAAGGGCGCACCAAGGUGACGAUGGAUAGCCGGCCUGAGAGGGUGAACGGUCACACUGGGACUGAGACACGGCCCAGACUCCUACGGGAGGCAGCAGCUAAGAAUCUUCCGCAAUGGGGGAAACCCUGACGGAGCGACGCCGCGUGGGCGAAGAAGGCCGCAAGGUUGUAAAGCCCUUUUCUUGACGAAGAAUAAGGUCAGGAGUGGAACGCCUGGCCGAUGACGUUAGUCGAGGAAGAAGCCCCGGCCAAUUACGUGCCAGCAGCCGCGGUAACACGUAUGGGGCAAGCGUUGUUCGGAAU
rnacentral:rRNA from 1 species